rnacentral:rRNA from 1 species
GCGGAGGAAAAGAAACCAACAGGGAUUGCCUUAGUAGCGGCGAGUGAACCGGCAAAAGCUCAGAUUUGAAAGCCUUUUUGGCAUUGUAUUCUGAAGCCUUGGUCCUGGGACCUGGUGCUUAAGUCUUCUGGAAAGGAGCGCCAUGGAGGGUGAUAGCCCCGUGAAGCACUAACCCCAUUGUAGGAUCUUGGCAUGGAGUCGAGUUGUUUGGGAAUGCAGCUCAAAUGGGUGGUAUGCUCCAUCUAAAGCUAAAUAUCUGCGAGAGACCGAUAGCGAACAAGUACUGUGAAGGAAAGAUGAAAAGAACUUUGAAAAGAGAGUGAAAUAGUACGUGAAAUUGUUGAAAUGGAAGGAUAGGCCGCUAACCACGCAGAGUCGUGUUUAGGGGGAGGACAAAAGCUGUAUACUUCAUCAUUCUUCGGAGUGGUGACGUUGCGGUGCAUACUCCCACCUGGGCGCGAGGAUCUAAGACUCUGCUAAAUGGUGGUCUAUCACCCGUCUUG